UACGGAGGGUGCAAGCGUUAUCCGGAAUCACUGGGUUUAAAGGGUGCGUAGGCGGUGAGAUAAGUCAGUCGUGAAAUCCCUCGGCUUAACCGGGGAACUGCGUCUGAUACUGGAUGGCUUGAGUUUGGGAGAGGGAUGCGGAAUUCCAGGUGUAGCGGUGAAAUGCGUAGAUAUCUGGAGGAACACCGGUGGCGAAGGCGGCAUCCUGGACCAACACUGACGCUGAGGAGCGAAAGCCAGGGGAGCAAACGGG
rnacentral:rRNA from 1 species